rnacentral:rRNA from 1 species
CCUACGGGAGGCUGCAGUGGGGAAUAUUGGACAAUGGGGGGAACCCUGAUCCAGCCAUGCCGCGUGUGUGAAGAAGGGCCUCGGGUUGUAAAGCACUUUCAGUGAGGAAGAACGCCUGGUGGUUAAUACCCAUCAGGAAAGACAUCACUCACAGAAGAAGCACCGGCUAACUCCGUGCCAGCAGCCGCGGUAAUACGGAGGGUGCGAGCGUUAAUCGGAAUUACUGGGCGUAAAGCGCGCGUAGGUGGCUUGAUAAGCCGGUUGUGAAAGCCCCGGGCUCAACCUGGGAACGGCAUCCGGAACUGUCAAGCUAGAGUGCAGGAGAGGAAGGUAGAAUUCCCGGUGUAGCGGUGAAAUGCGUAGAGAUCGGGAGGAAUACCAGUGGCGAAGGCGGCCUUCUGGACUGACACUGACACUGAGGUGCGAAAGCGUGGGUAGCAAACAGGAUUAGAUACCCGUGUAGUC